rnacentral:rRNA from 1 species
GGGUGAGUAAUACAUCGGAACGUGCCCCCUAAUGGGGGAUAGCUCUGGGAAAGCCGGAUUAAUACCGCAUACGCCCUGAGGGGGAAAGAGUGGGACCGCAAGGCCUCACGUUAUUGGAGCGGCCGAUGGGUGAUUAUCUCGUUGGGAGGGGAAAGGCCUCCCCAGGCGACAAUAACUAUCUGGUCUGAGAGGAGAAUCUGCCACACUGGGACUGAGACACGGCCCCCACUCCUACGGGAGGCGGCAGUGGGGAAUUUUGGACAAUGGGGGAAACCCUGAUCCACCAAUGCCCCGUGUGCGAAAAAAGCCUUCUGGUUGUAAAGCACUUUUUUCUGGGAAAAAAUCCUUUG